AAAACUGUUUCGUCUACAGUUGAAUUGCAAAAGCACACUAUCUUUUUUCAUCUUCUGUUGUCAAGAACAUCAGUCAGGAAGGAAGUUUCCAUCCCUGCUCUCCUUACAGCCAUCUGCUACAAGGUCACCAAGAUGAAGGGCCAAAAUAUCCUUCCGGCAUGCUGCCUGAGUCAGGAGGAUCACACUGAGUGAGGGAGUAAGCGCACGCUCCACGGAUUGACUAGUUUGGCCUAGCCACCAGAAGAC